AGUGGGAUUGCUGGGUUAUAUGGUAAGUGUAUGUUUAACUUAUGAGAAACUGCCAAACUGUUUUCCAAUGUGGCUAUACUAUUUCACAUUCCCACUUGCAAU
rnacentral:pre_miRNA from 1 species